rnacentral:rRNA from 1 species
UACGUAGGUGGCAAGCGUUGUCCGGAAUUAUUGGGCGUAAAGGGUGCGCAGGCGGUCCUUUAAGUCUGAUGUGAAAGCCCACGGCUCAACCGUGGAGGGUCAUUGGAAACUGGAGGACUUGAGUACAGAAGAGGAAAGCGGAAUUCCACGUGUAGCGGUGAAAUGCGUAGAGAUGUGGAGGAACACCAGUGGCGAAGGCGGCAUCCUGGACCGACACUGACGCUGAGGAGCGAAAGCCAGGGGAGCAAACGGG